rnacentral:lncRNA from 1 species
CACUACCAUAGUGCCAAGCAAGGUUGGAGGAGGCCGGGGAGUCAUGGAAUUGUUUCUGGCCUCCUAGUUCUUACGAUCAUAACCGCCUCCAGAAGGCAGUCGCGCACCACCUUCCUCCAGGUGCAGCGUGGGACGUGCAUGGUGACGUGAGGGUCUUGGUUAGCUGUGGCCAAACUCACGCUACCUGCAGGAGCCAGCUGGAAGAGUCCAGACCACUAGGGGCCCGCCGCAACACUUUUUUGAAGGUGUGGACACUGAUGACGAGGCACCACCCCCCCCCCCCCCCCCCCCCCAAGGAAAACAGAACGACAAUCUGUAGAUGAAGGGGCCAGACAUCAAUAGUGAGUGGCUAUUUGGGCCAUCGACCACCCAG